rnacentral:tRNA from 1 species
AUAAGGUGGCCGAGACUUAAAGGCGUUAGAUUGUAAAUCUAAGUAGAAGUUAAAUAACUUUCUUGUUAA